AUUGAACGCUGGCGGCAUGCCUUACACAUGCAAGUCGAACGGUAACAGGUCUUCGGAUGCUGACGAGUGGCGAACGGGUGAGUAAUACAUCGGAACGUGCCUAGUAGUGGGGGAUAACUACUCGAAAGAGUGGCUAAUACCGCAUGAGAUCUACGGAUGAAAGCAGGGGAUCGCAAGACCUUGCGCUACUAGAGCGGCCGAUGGCAGAUAGGGAGUUGGUGGGAUAAAAGCUUACCAAGCCGACGAUCUGUAGCUGGUCUGAGAGGACGAUCAGCCACACUGGGACUGAGACACGGCCCAGACUCCUACGGGAGGCAGCAGUGGGGAAUUUUGGACAAUGGGCGCAAGCCUGAUCCAGCAAUGCCGCGUGCAGGAUGAAGGCCUUCGGGUUGUAAACUGCUUUUGUACGGAACGAAAAGCCCUGGGUUAAUACCCUGGGGUCAUGACGGUACCGUAAGAAUAAGCACCGGCUAACUACGUGCCAGCCGCCGCGGUAA
rnacentral:rRNA from 1 species